GUGUUAGGGGGUUUCCGCCCCUUAGUGCUGCAGCUAACGCAUUAAGCACUCCGCCUGGGGAGUACGACCGCAAGGUUGAAACUCAAAGGAAUUGACGGGGGCCCGCACAAGCGGUGGAGCAUGUGGUUUAAUUCGAAGCAACGCGAAGAACCUUACCAGGUCUUGACAUCCUUUGACCACUCUGGAGACAGAGCUUUCCCUUCGGGGACAAAGUGACAGGUGGUGCAUGGUUGUCGUCAGCUCGUGUCGUGAGAUGUUGGGUUAAGUCCCGCAACGAGCGCAACCCUUGAUUUUAGUUGCCAGCAUUUAGUUGGGCACUCUAAAGUGACUGCCGGUGCAAGCCGGAGGAAGGUGGGGAUGACGUCAAAUCAUCAUGCCCCUUAUGACCUGGGCUACACACGUGCUACAAUGGAUAGUACAAAGGGUCGCGAAGCCGCGAGGUGGAGCUAAUCCCAUAAAACUAUUCUCAGUUCGGAUUGUAGGCUGCAACUCGCCUACAUGAAGCCGGAAUCGCUAGUAAUCGUGGAUCAGCAUGCCACGGUGAAUACGUUCCCGGGCCUUGUACACACCGCCCGUCACACCACGAGAGUUUGUAACACCCGAAGUCGGUAGGGUAACCUUUAUGGAGCCAGCCGCCGAAGGUGGGACAGAUAAUUGGGGUGAAGUCGUAACAAGGUAGCCGUAUCGGAAGGUGCGGCUGGAUCACCUCCUUUCUAAGGAA
rnacentral:rRNA from 1 species